UGGGGAAUAUUGCACAAUGGGCGCAAGCCUGAUGCAGCCAUGCCGCGUGUGUGAAGAAGGCCUUCGGGUUGUAAAGCACUUUCAGCGAGGAGGAAGGUGGUGAGCUUAAUACGCUCAUCAAUUGACGUUACUCGCAGAAGAAGCACCGGCUAACUCCGUGCCAGCAGCCGCGGUAAUACGGAGGGUGCAAGCGUUAAUCGGAAUUACUGGGCGUAAAGCGCACGCAGGCGGUUUGUUAAGUCAGAUGUGAAAAUCCCCGGGCUCAACCUGGGAACUGCAUUUGAAACUGGCAAGCUAGAGUCUCGUAGAGGGGGGUAGAAUUCCAGGUGUAGCGGUGAAAUGCGUAGAGAUCUGGAGGAAUACCGGUGGCGAAGGCGGCCCCCUGGACGAAGACUGACGCUCAGGUGCGAAAGCGUGGGGCAGCAAACAGGAUUAGAUACCCUGGUAGUCCACGCUGUAAAACGAUGUCGAUUUUGGAGGUUGUGCCCUUGAGGCGUGGCUUCCGGAGCUAACGCGUUAAAUCGACCGCCUGGGGAGUACGGCCGCAAGGUUAAAACUCAAAUGAAUUGAC
rnacentral:rRNA from 1 species